rfam:Vitis vinifera, whole genome shotgun sequence of line PN40024, unoriented chromosome 14, chr14
GGCUCUGUGAUUGCAUGCCUGAUUGGGCAAUAUACGCUAUUCCGACUCGAUUCAUGAGCUGAGAAUCUCUGAGAAAAGAGUAUGAGAGUC